AACCCCUGCUGCCAGUUGCCAACGGGUAGAGCCGGGCACUCUGGCGGGACUGCCAUCGACAAGAUGGAGGAAGGUGGGGAUGACGUCAAGGUCAUCAUGGCCCUUAUGUCCAGGGCGACACACGUGCUACAAUGGCCGGCACAGCGGGAAGCGAGGCAGUGAUGCCGAGCGGAUCCCUUAAAGCCGGUACUCAGUUCGGAUUGAAGUCUGCAACUCGACUUCAUGAAGCUGGAAUCGCUAGUAAUCGCAGAUCAGCCAAGCUGCGGUGAAUACGUUCCCGGGCCUU
rnacentral:rRNA from 1 species